UCCGGGUGCAGUGGCACGCGCCUGUGGUCCCAGCUACUGCUGAGGCAGGAGGACGGCUUGAGUCUGGGCGUUCUGGGCUGUAGUGUGCUAUGUCGAUCUGGUGUCUGCACCGAGACUGGUAGCAGUAUGGUGAUCUCCUGGGAGUGGGGGAUCACCAGGUUGCCUAAGGAGGAGUGAACCAGCCCAGGCUGGUGAAACAGAGCAAGUGAAACUCCAGAGUGGGAUCGCACCUCUGAAUGGCCACUGCACUCCAGCCUGGGCAACAUAGCGAGACCUCAUCUCU
ensembl:misc_RNA Metazoa_SRP Metazoan signal recognition particle RNA